GCAUUGGUGGUUCAGUGGUAGAAUUCUUGUUUCCCACGUGGGAAACCCGGUUUCGAUUCCUGGCCCGUACA
rnacentral:tRNA from 1 species